GCAUAUCAAUGAGCGGAGGAAAAGAAACCAACAGGGAUUGCCCUAGUAACGGCGAGUGAAGCGGCAUCAGCUCAAAUUUGAAAUCUGGCUCUUUCAGAGUCCGAGUUGUAAUUUGCAGAGGGCGCUUUGGUGUCGGCAGCGGUCCAAGUUCCUUGGAACAGGACGUCACAGAGGGUGAGAAUCCCGUACGUGGUCGCUGACCUACACCGUGUAAAGCCCCUUCGACGAGUCGAGUUGUUUGGGAAUGCAGCUCUAAAUGGGAGGUAAAUUUCUUCUAAAGCUAAAUACUGGCCAGAGACCGAUAGCGCACAAGUAGAGUGAUCGAAAGAUGAAAAGCACUUUGGAAAGAGAGUCAAACAGCACGUGAAAUUGUUGAAAGGGAAGCGCUUGCAGCCAGACUUGUUUGUAGUUGCUCAUCCGGGCUUUUGCCCGGUGCACUCUUCUGCGAACAGGCCAGCAUCAGUUUGGGCGGUUGGAUAAAGGCCUCUGUCACGUACCUUCUCUCGGGAAGGCCUUAUAGGGGAGGCGUCAUGCAACCAGCCUGGACUGAGGUCCGCGCAUCUGCUAGGAUGCUGGCGUAAUGGCUGUAAGCGGCCCGUCUUGAAACACGGACCAAGGAGUCUAACAUCUAUGCGAGUGUUUGGGUGUCAAGCCCGAGCGCGCAAUGAAAGUGAACGGAGGUGGGAUCCCGCAAGGGUGCACCAUCGACCGAUCCUGAAGUCUUCGGAUGGAUUUGAGUAAGAGCAUGGCUGUUGGGACCCGAAAGAUGGUGAACUAUGCUUGAAUAGGGUGAAGCCAGAGGAAACUCUGGUGGAGGCUCGCAGCGGUUCUGACGUGCAAAUCGAUCGUCAAAUUUGGGCAUAGGGGCGAAAGACUAAUCGAACUAUCUAGUAGCUCGUUCCUGCCGAAGUU
rnacentral:rRNA from 1 species